UCACCAGUUCAGCCUUGACAUAAAUCAUGUUCACUUCAUAUCUCUUGCUGUUGCUGGCUGCAGUGUCUUGUAUUGACUCUCAGGUUGUGCUCACACAGUCUGAACAGUCAGUAGUUGUGACUCCAGGUGGUUCCCACAAACUGACCUGUGCCUGCAGUGGAUUCACUCUUAGUAGCACUUACAUGCACUGGAUCCGUCAGGCACCUGGAAAAGGACUUGAAUGGAUUAUUUAUUAUUAUUCAGAUUCUAUUAAGAGCUCAGCUCAGUCAGUGCAGGGCAGGUUCACAGCAUCUAAGGACAGCUCUAAUUUCUAUCUGCACAUGAAUCAGCUGAAGACUGAAGACACUGCUGUGUAUUACUGUGCAACAGAUACACUGUGGAAAUACUAAUACAGACAGCUGUUCAAAAACUCAUCAUGAGGUGGACAUGGUUGAGCUGAUAAAGGGGAAGAUGAUAUAAAGUGAUAUAAGUGAUAAGGCCGAUCUAAAAUGUUUUGAAUAUGCAUACAUUUAAAUACAAUAAAAAAAAUCAUGCUGCUAAAAUGAUUCUUUACUUUGAAUCAUACUGACUUACGGAAGCCCAAAACAAUCCGGCCAUGGAUAUAUAUAUUGUUUUCUCGUGAUCUCGAGAUAACAAAAGUUGUUUUCUCAAGAUCCCAACUUAAUUUUCU